rnacentral:rRNA from 1 species
GUGGGGAAUAUUGGACAAUGGGCGCAAGCCUGAUCCAGCAAUGCCGCGUGAGUGAUGAAGGCCCUAGGGUUGUAAAGCUCUUUCGCCAGGGACGAUAAUGACGGUACCUGGAUAAGAAGCCCCGGCUAACUUCGUGCCAGCAGCCGCGGUAAUACGAAGGGGGCUAGCGUUGUUCGGAAUCACUGGGCGUAAAGCGCACGUAGGCGGAUCUUUAAGUCAGGGGUGAAAUCCCGAGGCUCAACCUCGGAACUGCCUUUGAUACUGGGGAUCUCGAGUCCGGGAGAGGUGAGUGGAACUGCGAGUGUAGAGGUGAAAUUCGUAGAUAUUCGCAAGAACACCAGUGGCGAAGGCGGCUCACUGGCCCGGUACUGACGCUGAGGUGCGAAAGCGUGGGGAGCAAACAGGAUUAGAUACCCCUGUAGUCC